GUGAAUCAUCAAAUCUUUGAACGCAUAUUGCACUCUCUGGUAUUCCGGAGAGUAUGCCUACUUGAGGGUCGUUUAAAAUAAUAUAAAUUCCAAGAUUUCUCGGAAUUUAAAAUGGGAGGUCCAUUUUUUGUGGUCUCCUAAAAUCCAAGACAAGCUCAUUUUCUUGGGUUGCGUGAUACUUUCAGUUAACACGUGACUGAACAAGGAAUCAUCGGGCGUGUUAUGAC
rnacentral:misc_RNA from 1 species